rnacentral:tRNA from 1 species
CCCCGUGUAGCCCAAGGCAGAGGCAGCGGUCUUAAAAACCGCCCAGUGCGGGUGCGAAUCCCGCCGCGGGGACCA